CCUACGGGAGGCAGCAGUGAGGAAUAUUGGUCAAUGGGCGCGAGCCUGAACCAGCCAAGUCGCGUGAGGGAUGACGGUCCUAUGGAUUGUAAACUUCUUUUGUCGGGGAGCAAAAGACGCCACGCGUGGCUUUCCGAGAGUACCCGAAGAAAAAGCAUCGGCUAACUCCGUGCCAGCAGCCGCGGUAAUACGGGGGAUGCGAGCGUUAUCCGGAUUUAUUGGGUUUAAAGGGGGCGCAGGUGGGAGGUCAAGUCAGCGGUAAAAUUGAGGGGCUCAACCUCUUCGAGCCGUUGAAACUGGUUUUCUUGAGUGAGUUAGAAGUAUGCGGAAUGCGUGGUGUAGCGGUGAAAUGCAUAGAUAUCACGCAGAACUCCGAUUGCGAAGGCAGCAUACCGGCGCUCAACUGACGCUCAUGCACGAAAGUGUGGGUAUCGAACAGGAUUAGAUACCCUGGUAGUC
rnacentral:rRNA from 1 species